rnacentral:rRNA from 1 species
CACGCUGUAAACGAUGAAUGCUAGGUGUAGGUGGGGAUACUCAUCUGUGCCGCAGUUAACACAAUAAGCAUUCCACUUGGGGAGUACGGCCGCAAGGUUGAAACUCAAAGGAAUUGACGGGAGCCCGCACAAGCAGUGGAGUAUGUGGUUUAAUUCGACGCAACGCGAAGAACCUUACCGGAACUUGACAUCCUACCAAGGCGAAUGUAAUGUUUGCCGUGCCCUUCGGGGAGAGUAGAGACAGGUGGUGCAUGGUUGUCGUCAGCUCGUGUCGUGAGAUGUUGGGUUAAGUCCCGCAACGAGCGCAACCCUUACGGUUAGUUGCUACGAAAGAGCACUCUAGCCGGACUGCCGUUGACAAAACG